rnacentral:rRNA from 1 species
GACGAACGCUGGCGGCGUGCUUAAUACAUGCAAGCCGAGCGAGGCCCAUCCAGUGGCAACACUGGGGAAGGCCGAGCGGCGAACGGGUGAGUAACACGUGAGCAACCUGCCCCGAAGUCUGGAAUAACAUCGGGGAACCGGUGCUAAUACCGGAUUGCCCCACCUGACCGCAUGAUCGGGUGAGGAAAGAUUUAUCGCUUCGGGAGGGGCUCGCGGCCUAUCAGCUAGNGGGUCGGGGUAACGGCCCACCAAGGCGUCGACGGGUAGGCUGGUCUGAGAGGACGACCAGCCACACUGGGACUGAGACACGGCCCAGACUCCUACGGGAGGCAGCAGUAGGGAAUCUUGCGCAAUGGGCGAAAGCCUGA